rnacentral:rRNA from 1 species
ACGAACGCUGGCGGCGUGCUUAACACAUGCAAGUCGAACGGAAAGGCCCUGCUUUUGUGGGGUGCUCGAGUGGCGAACGGGUGAGUAACACGUGAGUAACCUGCCCUUGACUUUGGGAUAACUUCAGGAAACUGGGGCUAAUACCGGAUAGGAGCUCCUGCUGCAUGGUGGGGGUUGGAAAGUUUCGGCGGUUGGGGAUGGACUCGCGGCUUAUCAGCUUGUUGGUGGGGUAGUGGCUUACCAAGGCUUUGACGGGUAGCCGGCCUGAGAGGGUGACCGGCCACAUUGGGACUGAGAUACGGCCCAGACUCCUACGGGAGGCAGCAGUGGGGAAUAUUGCACAAUGGGCGGAAGCCUGAUGUAGCAACGCCGCGUGCGGGAUGACGGCCUUCGGGUUGUAAACCGCUUUCGCCUGUGACGAAGCGUGAGUGGCGGUAAUGGGUAAAGAAGCACCGGCUAACUACGUG